rnacentral:rRNA from 1 species
GUACAGGUGCGUUGUGAGUGUACGUAGCAGUUGAGAAUGCUCACUACGUUAGCAACCGUUGGGUCUGGCUGGCCGGUCCGCCUCACCGCGAGUACUGGUCCGGCUGGACCUUUCCUUCUGGGGAACCUCAUGGCCUUCACUGGCUGUGGGGGGAACCAGGACUUUUACUGUGAAAAAAUUAGAGUGUUCAAAGCAGGCCUUUGCUCGAAUACAUUAGCAUGGAAUAAUAGAAUAGGACGUGCGGUUCUAUUUUGUUGGUUUCUAGGACCGCCGUAAUGAUUAAUAGGGAUAGUCGGGGGCGUCAGUAUUCAGCUGUCAGAGGUGAAAUUCUUGGAUUUGCUGAAGACUAACUACUGCGAAAGCAUUCGCCAAGGAUGUUUUCAUUAAUCAGGGAACGAAAGUUAGGGGAUCGAAGACGAUCAUAUACCGUCCUAAUCUUAACCAUAAACUAUGCCCACUACGGAUCGGGCGGUGUUUCUUUUAUGACCCGCUGAGCGCCUCCCGAGAAAUAAUAAUUUUUGGGUUCUGCAGGGAGUAUUAUCGACGUUGGCUACUACCUUUUUUUUGCGGGACGUUCAUUACACUUUUGAACGGACUCGACUAAAC